CAAUCAACCAUGGUGGAAUAAUACAAGGUGUUGGAUAUUGACAGCGUUCUCGCUCUAAUCCGCCAUCUUGACUCCCGUAGCAAAAUCGAUGUUUCCCUCCUGAAAAAACUACAUUUUACGCCUUAAAAAAAGUACUAAACUACCUCAUUCCCUAUUCUAAAACUGAUUUAGCUUAAGAGCGAAAUACACCACACAAGCGGUCUGGUGCAGCAAACUGCGCCAGCAUCUGAGUGGGAUUGAUUAGUUAACUUGCUAAAGGAGGCUGCUUGGAGCAGAACCGCGAUUCGUCGCAGCGUUACAUUUGCAUCUACGCAUAAUGAGAUGGGGCACCAUGGCACACUUCAUGGAAGGACAACAGCGCGAAUCGGAGCCAUGCAGUGUGCAUGAGUGCAGUACUACCAACAGCUGUUCCUGCAAAUCGUGAAUAUCGUGAAGCAUCUGGAACGCAACUAUUAUUUCGUACCUUGGUCGUUUACGCAACAUACCUGAAGAGCUGGAACAAAGAUAUAAAUCACAGGGAUUGAUCCGGCCCAAUAAAUAUGCAGGGAAAACUUUUGCUUUUUGUCGCAGGCGAAUCGAGAAAAUCUACUUUCCUCAAAGAGAUGCGUAUAAUACGCGGCAUUAUUUAUGAACUCGAACUUAUUCCAGAAUACAGUGAGAAGUGAUAUAUCAAAAUGUAUUACGAGGAAAGCACGUAUUGAUUGAUGCUCGUCAAAAACUGGGAAUCCCAUAGGGAAACACCGAACAAGAAACAAUGCGAAAUAGGCGAAUUUAAUUGAAUGUAGUAAAGUGGAAAUCGACAAUUUCAUACAGUGGGCUCCAUAUAUUCGUAGACUAUGGCAAGAUCCUUUUGUAGUUUUCUACUUCAAUAUUGACAUAACUCCAAAACCAAACGCUCGAAAAAACUGUUUUCAAGUUUUGAAUUUUACCUUAAUUUAGAAAGGCCCCUAUCGUCGCUGAAAUAUAAAAAAGCCAUAACUAACUAUAAUUUAUAUUGCAUAAACGAUGAAACGCAUCAUAAUCAAUCGAAAAGCGAGUUUUGCAUAUUGAGUUAGUUACGGCAUUUUGUAUUUUAACGACGAUGUGAGAUAUGGCCCUUCUAUGUUAAGGUAACGAUAUACUCCCAUAUCAAAAAUGAAUACUUAUUUUGCUCUACUGAGCUAGUGGUAAUCAGUGCAGGGGGAGAUUCCGUAACCAGUUAGCGACAAUUUGCGAAUCGCUAACUGGUUAUAAGAUCUCCCACCAGAUAUGAAAGUACACAACAUAGAAGAGCAGUUAGCAUCCAUUUCUCUAUACUUAACUCGAUUUUGUAUUAUAUUGGACAUUGAGAUUAUGACACUAUUGAAGUAAAUGAGCAAUAUGUAAACACAAAUUUUUUUGUCUUUUUGUUAAUUUAAUUUGCGGCCCUGAAAAGGGCCUUUUGCACAUUUCCAUAUACAUAUGCAUGUAAACACAAAAAUGAUGGCCUAAUUUAAUUUGUACUUUUGAAAGCAUAAAUAAUUGUCUCUUUGUAAAUUAAUUGGCGGCCCUGAAAAGGGCCUUUGUUUCAUUCAUGUUAUUCUCCUGCAAAUAAAUAAAUAUGGAUAUUUUUUUAUACAAGAUGCCAGAUUAUUUGUUAAACUCAUAGGCUUACGUUGCAUCCAUGCCUUAUAAUUUUAGGCGGCUUAAACAUUGAGCUUACUUUGCGGGAACUGCGGACGUUGCUGCAUGCUACAAUCAAAGAACUUUUAAUUUCUACGGAUUUAUACAACAUUUCAGUUGACAACUUACCGUAUGUUUUUAGUGACUCGCCCAGGA
rnacentral:lncRNA from 1 species